ACAACUCUGAGCGGUGGAUCACUUGGUCUGUGGAUGCUAUGAAGACCAUAGCUAAGUGUGAGAAUGGCAGCGAGCCGUCGCUAUAUGCGCUGUCCUCUUCUUUCACAUGUCGAAUGCACAUUGCGCCCCACCCAGUGGUCAGCAAACCCACGAACCAACGCUGGUGACUUGGAAC
rnacentral:rRNA from 1 species